rnacentral:rRNA from 1 species
CAGUAGCGUAUUUUAUCUUUGCUGCCAUUAAAAAGCUCGUAGUUGGAUUUCUGGUGUGUGGCAAGGGGGGGCUCUCCCCUCUUGCUUGGUGCGCCCGGUCCGCCCCCUGGCUCUUCGUGGCCUCGGGGGGUGAGUUACCUUGUGGCAGCGCCCACCAUCCCUUCCUGUGGUUGGUGCCCUUGUGGGGCCCCGGCGACGGGAUCGUUUACUGUGAACAAAUUAGAGUGUUCCAAGCAGGCGUGCUUGCUGUGAAUAGUUUAGCAUGGAAUGAUGACAUAGGACUUCGUACCUAUUUUGUUGGUUUCUAGGCGUGAAGUAAUGAUUGAUAGGGACAGUUGGGGGUGCUAGUAUUUACCGGCUAGAGGUGAAAUUCUUGGAUUCGGUAAAGACUAACUAAUGCGAAAGCAUUCACCAAGGAUGUCUUCUUUGA